GAUGAAUGCUGGCGGCGUGCCUAAUACAUGCAAGUCGUGCGGCAGCGCGAGUAGUUUACUACUUGGCGGCGAGCGGCGGACGGCUGAGUAACGCGUGGGAACGUGCCCCAAAGUGAGGGAUAAGCCCGAGAAAUCGGGUCUAAUACCGCAUAUGGUCUUCGGAUUAAAGCUUCGGCGCUUUGGGAGCGGCCCGCGUACGAUUAGAUUGUUGGUGAGGUAAUGGCUCACCAAGUCGACGAUCGUUAGCUGGUCUGAGAGGAUGAUCAGCCAGACUGGAACUGAGACACGGUCCAGACUCCUACGGGAGGCAGCAGUAAGGAAUCUUCCACAAUGGGGGCAACCCUGAUGGAGCAACGCCGCGUGCAGGAUGAAGGCCCUCGGGUCGUAAACUGCUUUUAUGAGUGAAGAAUAUGACGGUAACUCAUGAAUAAGCACCGGCUAACUACGUGCCAGCAGCCGCGGUCAUACGUAGGGUGCAAGCAUUAUCCGGAGUGACUGGGCGUAAAGAGUUGCGUAGGCGGUUAGUAAAGCGAAUAGUGAAACCUGGUGGCUCAACCAUACAGACUAUUAUUCGAACUCACUAACUCGAGAGUGGUAGAGGUAACUGGAAUUUCUUGUGUAGGAGUGAAAUCCGUAGAUAUAAGAAGGAACACCAAUGGCGUAGGCAGGUUACUGGACCAUUUCUGACGCUAAGGCACGAAAGCGUGGGGAGCGAACGGGAUUAGAUACCCCGGUAGUCCACGCCGUAAACGAUGGAUACUAGCUGUUGGAGGUAUCGACCCCUUCAGUAGCGAAGCUAACGCGUUAAGUAUCCCGCCUGUGGAGUACGGCCGCAAGGCUAAAACAUAAAGGAAUUGACGGGGAUCAGCACAAGCGGUGGAUCGUGUUCUUUAAUUCGAUGAUAAACGAAGAACCUUACCAGGGCUUGACAUCCA
rnacentral:rRNA from 1 species